rnacentral:rRNA from 1 species
GAUGAACGCUGGCGGCGUGCCUAAUACAUGCAAGUAGAACGCUGAAGCUUGGUGCUUGCACCGAGCGGAUGAGUUGCGAACGGGUGAGUAACGCGUAGGUAACCUGCCUCUUAGCGGGGGAUAACUAUUGGAAACGAUGGCUAAUACCGCAUAAAAGUCGACAUCGCAUGAUGUUGACUUGAAAGGUGCAAUUGCAUCACUAAGAGAUGGACCUGCGUUGUAUUAGCUAGUUGGUGAGGUAACGGCUCACCAAGGCGACGAUACAUAGCCGACCUGAGAGGGUGAUCGGCCACACUGGGACUGAGACACGGCCCAGACUCCUACGGGAGGCAGCAGUAGGGAAUCUUCGGCAAUGGGGGCAACCCUGACCGAGCAACGCCGCGUGAGUGAAGAAGGUUUUCGGAUCGUAAAGCUCUGUUGUAAGAGAAGAACGAGUGUGAGAGUGGAAGGUUCACACUAUGACGUAACUACCA